GUUUUAAAGAAGAUAUAGAAAAUAGUGAUCUAAUUUAUAAAGAAAUGGCUCAAAAAGGACACCUUUAUGCACAACUUCAGUUUGGGGCCAAGAGCACGAAAGGAGAAGGAAUCAAGUAGGACGCCGCUGUGGCGCUUCGCUCCUUGAAGUAGCGGCUGUAAUCAAUGCUUCAGGCGAGCAACCUCAUUGGCGAAAUUUAUAGUAAAGGUAUUUCCCCCUUUCAUAGAAGUUAAUGAAAAAGGUGC